UACGUAGGUGGCAAGCGUUGUCCGGAUUUACUGGGCGUAAAGCGCGCGUAGGCGGGUUGGUAAGUCCGCUGUGAAAGCCCGGAGCUCAACUCCGGAGGGUCGGUGGAUACUGCCAGUCUUGAAGGUGCUAGGGGGAGAUGGAAUUACCGGUGUAGCGGUGAAAUGCGUAGAUAUCGGUAGGAACACCAGUGGCGAAGGCGGUCUCCUGGGGCAUUCUUGACGCUGAGGCGCGAAAGCUGGGGGAGCAAACAGG
rnacentral:rRNA from 1 species